UACGUAGGGUCCGAGCGUUGUCCGGAAUUAUUGGGCGUAAAGGGCUCGUAGGCGGUUCGUCACGUCGGGAGUGAAAACUCGGAGCUUAACUCCGAGCCUGCUUCCGAUACGGGCAGACUAGAGGUAGGCAGGGGAGAGCGGAACUUCUGGUGUAGCGGUGGAAUGCGCAGAUAUCAGGAAGAACACCGGUGGCGAAGGCGGCUCUCUGGGCCUUACCUGACGCUGAGGAGCGAAAGCGUGGGUAGCGAACAGG
rnacentral:rRNA from 1 species